rnacentral:tRNA from 1 species
AUUAUAUAGUAUAAAUAUUAAUACAUUAAUUUUCCAAAUUAAAAAUAUUAUAAAGUUUA